rnacentral:rRNA from 1 species
UACGUAGGGUGCAAGCGUUAAUCGGAAUUACUGGGCGUAAAGCGUGCGCAGGCGGUUUUGUAAGUCUGACGUGAAAUCCCCGGGCUCAACCUGGGAAUUGCGUUGGAGACUGCAAGGCUGGAGUCUGGCAGAGGGGGGUAGAAUUCCGCGUGUAGCAGUGAAAUGCGUAGAUAUGCGGAGGAACACCGAUGGCGAAGGCAAUCCCCUGGACCUGUACUGACGCUCAUGCACGAAAGCGUGGGGAGCAAACAGG